UCCAGAAGGUGGUGCCCAGUCAUUGCCUGGGCUCCACUUGGUCCGAGAGGGAUAAACCUGGCAAUGAACAUCUGGCAACCAUGGUCUGUGACACCAUCACCCAUUCAAAAGUGUGACCAACUGUGUCAUCACCACCUGCCUCAGGGACCCACGCUUGACUGCCCAGGACAGGGCCAGGGUAGUAGAGCAUUGGAUCCAGGUGGCCCAGGAGUGCCAAAUUCUGAGGAACUACUCAUUGCAUGCCAUCCUCUGCUCUGCAGAGCACCUUGAUUUGCAGUCCGAAGAACACAUGGGGGAAAGUUUCCAGGGAGAGCUACGAAAAAUUUAAGGAGCUGUGUAGUCAAGACAAGUCACUGAGCAGGGAAAUGAUGACCAAGG